UACGGAGGGUGCGAGCGUUGUCCGGAAUCACUGGGCGUAAAGGGCGCGUAGGCGGCUUGGGAAGUCCAUGGUGAAAGCUCGCGGCUCAACUGCGAGUCGGCCAAGGAUACUCCUGAGCUCGAGUCGACUAGAGGCUAAUGGAAUUCCGGGUGUAGUGGUGGAAUGCGUAGAGAUCCGGAGGAACACCAGCGGCGAAGGCGGCGUCCUGGACUGGUACUGACGCUCAGGAGCGAAAGCGUGGGGAGCGAUCCGG
rnacentral:rRNA from 1 species